AGGGGAACCUGCGGAGGGAUCAUUACUGAGUUAUUACAACUCCAAACCCAUGUGAACUAUACCAUUUGUUGCCUCGGCGGUAGGACCUAACUAUCUUGUACCUACCCGGGACCUACCCGGUAGACCUACCCGGUAGCUAGGAACCCCGCCGGUGGAUCUUAAACUCUUGUUUUUUUGGCAUUCUGAAUACACUAUUUUGAUAAUAAGUCAAAACUUUCAACAACGGAUCUCUUGGUUCUGGCAUCGAUGAAGAACGCAGCGAAAUGCGAUAAGUAAUGUGAAUUGCAGAAUUCAGUGAAUCAUCGAAUCUUUGAACGCACAUUGCGCCCAUUAGUAUUCUAGUGGGCAUGCCUGUUCGAGCGUCAUUACAACCCUUAAGCCCUAGUUGCUUAGUGUUGAGAGCCUUUACCUGUCCCUGGCAGGUAACUCUCUAAAAUCAGUGGCAGAGUCACGACACACUCUAAGCGUAGUAAUUUUUUCUCGCUUCUGUAGGUGCCGCGGCGAUCGCCAUAAGCCUCUAUUUUUCUAAUGGUUGACCUCGGAUCAGGUAGGAAUACCCGCUGAACUUAAGCAUAUCAAUAAGCCGGAAGGAAAAAAAUUUCUUCCUAUCUUAC
rnacentral:rRNA from 1 species